rnacentral:lncRNA from 1 species
GCUACGCGUGAACCCUUUACUUCAACAUUCUCAAUUAAAGGACCAUCUCCAUACCCCGUCCGAUAUGAGUGCCAAACCACUAAACCUCAAUACCCCGUCCGGUAUGAGGUGAAACGGGCCGUUCCCAUACCUCAUCUAGUAUGAGCGCCAAAUUAUCAAGUAUCGAUACCCCGUCGGGUAUGAGGCAACAUUCACGGUAGGGUUCCCUAUUGUACCUAAUCUAUCCACCAUCUCCUAGGAUAUCUAGUAAGACUGUCAUUUCAUCCAUUCACUUAAUCACACAAUAUUUCCGUUUUCCUUUAGUCUCCAUUUUUUAAAUCAACUGUAAUCACAUAAAUAAACAAACAUGCAUCAGAGAGUGCAAUCAUAUCUCGGUUUCUCAAUUUAAC